UCGAGACCAUGAUGCAGGGAGUG
rnacentral:misc_RNA from 1 species